CUCCUAGGCCCCAUUUAAGGGCUGACUCCCAAGGAGGAUGGGUCUCUAUCUGGAGAUCACUCCUCUUGGAGCCCUUCUGUGAGCCCAGGACACAGGUUUCGUGUUUAUAGAACGAAGAAGGACAUCUUGUAAAGGCGCCUUUUCAUGUGCGGAGAGACCAUAAAAAUAUCAAGACCCCAGAAUGUUAAAGAGAAUCAGGAAUGCACAUGGAAAAUGCUACACUAAUCACUGAAUUUCUGCUCCCAAAGACCUCUGUUUACUGAGCUGCAGCCAGCCCUGAUGAGCUUGGAGUAUGCCAGCAAAAGUGUGCAUAUCAGAAAGCUGCUGUGGAGUACAUGUUGUGAAGUGUAUGGGAACUGUUGAAUCACGGCCUGAACCUCUGAUUGACCACCUGAGGUGGGGAAGAGGACAUAACAGAACGAAAGCCAAGAAGAAAAUUGCAGCAAAGGGAUGGAGGAGUGCUGCUUAACCGUCUGUCUCCUGAAGUCUUCAGAUGGUGACUAGAUGCCUACAGAUAAGACAUUUUUUUAAUCAAGAAGUUAGAGAACUCCCUAGCAGAAAUGACAUGGAGUGAGUCAUAUGGUAGAUCAGACCAGAUCAUCUAAGAAAAUAUUCAGUCUUUCAAAUAUGCAUCCCUUUGAAUUCAGGUAAUAUUUUUUCCCCCGAGACAAGAGUCAAAGACCAGAUCUUCCUUAAUCAGAUGUUUCAGUGGGAAGAGAAGCUUUAGGGGACCUACAUGACAUUUUAAAGAGACCUAAAUAUUAGAGUAGGGGUAGGACAACUUGGCAGGAGAUGCUGAUUGAAAUUAUGGCUUCAUUGAGCCCAAGUGGGAAUUUGAAUUCAGGGGCCUAAGUUACCACCCAGUGUGUCAAUGGGAAAACUGCCAGUGUAAAACUGAGGGGAAAAAAAAAUGGUAUGAGAUGUUUGGCCUCAGGAAACAAAAUAGAAAUGAUGAGAGUCCCUGUUUCCCACCUCCCCUCAAAAAACAAAACAAAAAAAAAAAAAGAGAUGAGCAAAAUGGAGAGUGACACCAGAUUCAAUGAUCUGUCUCAGCACAAGCUAUGUGUAAGGCAAGAAGCUCUUCUUUUCUUCUAAUACAUAAGAUCAAUAAUGGAGGGUCUGAGAAAUCGCACAGAUUGAACACAACAAGGUCAGGUAUUGAGUUCACAGAGCCAUGGAAUAGUUGAGGUUGGAAGGGACUGCUGGAGAACUCUUACUCAAGCUGGGUCACCUUGCACAGCUUCCCACUACUCUGUCCAGGUGGUUCCAUCCCACAGAAGCAUCCAAGGACAUAUUCUGCUCUUCAGUAAAAGCGUGAAAGAUCAUUGCGCCUCAUCAAAUCCCAGUAGUGAUGCUAUGAGACCUUUCUUUUAGGUGUAGACUCUCCUCUAGCUCUCUCAGUGCUGCUCUUUCUCACAUAGCCAUGGUUCUUCCAUGGCAAGAUGGGUUUGACUUGUGGAAAAAUAAUAAGCCCAGAGUUGUUAUGAGAGUCAGGGCAGAGCAUAAUUCUAAUUACAGGAAGCAGAAGCAAGAGGGGGGAACUUUUGGAGUGUUUUAUUGUAAUUUAAGUAGGCUUCUAAGAUGUGAGAAGCCAGCAAUGUUGUCAGAGGUUACAAGGAGUUUUCAUGCAAUCGCAAAUUCAUAUUUCUCUGUCCUAACACACAAUCUGGGAGAAGGGCAGCCAGAGGUAAGUGACAGAACCAGGAGGAGGAAGCGAGCUGUUAGCCGGCUCUGGUUUGUCUCUCCUUCUUAUCAGAUCAUAACUUCACAGUAGCACUUCCACUGUAAACUCCUUGUAGCCCUUCCAGAUUAACUUUCAAGCCUGCCUCCCUAACCUUGGGAAAUUUUAGACAUGCGAGAUCAGCUAACAAGGCAGGGGGAAGUUCUUUUGUCUGCAGUGGGAUCUUUCCAUGCUGCAGCUCGGCUUCCUUUACAUACAGGCCCUACUGAUUCCCCAGAGAGAUGGAGUAAACUAAUUGCUCAUCUGCUAUUAGGAUCAUCCCAAAAAAGAUUAAGACUGUGAAUGUUUGAUGGGCACAUCUCUGUCUUUUCUAGUUGGCUAAGAUUUCCUCUGCUGGAUGUGUAUGUCAGACUUCUACAAAAUCAACCCCCGCUCAACUACUCUGAGCUGGUAGGCAUCCUAAGUAAUGCUGUUGAAUAAACUGAAGUAAUUUGGGAUACAAUUUGGCAUAAGAGAUCACAAUUACUCUCCUGAGAUUAUUCCAGCAUUACAUCCACUUAUGAAACUACAAAAGAAAUCUGUCCACUGAAAUUCAUCUUCUAUGAAAGCUGCAGGAAGCGCUGACUGUCUACUUCCAGUGUGCCUGCCCAAAGGGAGACCUCUCUGCUGGAUCCCAACAAGAGGAGAUGACAAACAAGACAAGCGCAUUUCGUAGCACCCAUGACUCAGAUGGAGCAGAUCAGCUCUUCAGCUAUUGCUUCAUUAACCAAGGCUUGUUUGCUACAGACAUCACCAUCAAGAGUUUCCAGAGAUGCCACUGAAAGGUGUCCAUAUGUGUGCGGUGGGGAACCUGGCCAGCUCGCAGAGCCGCCUCUCCUCCAAGAACUGCAUACUGAGGCUUCUCAGUGUUGCAGAAAAAGCCACUGUUGCUUCCAAACUGCUAUAGGAACUGACAGGAGCGCUCCAUAUCCAGGUGCUGACUGACCACUGAAGAGCAGUUUGUAUGAAGAGCCUCAAAGGAGCUUCCAAAAGAAACUCAAAAACCUUGAGCUUACAACCUGGAGGAUGUUUGUCUACAUUUGCGAGGUAAAAUGCAGUUAUGCUUCAAAAUAAAGGAAAAUGCUGUGGUCUGUGGGUUAGUUCAUGAAGACCUCGAGUUUACUAUGAUGGGGACCUUAGAAAUGAAAAGAUUGAAUGUCUUAUGACAGGCAAGCAAGGAGUCUGUGGCUGAAUCAUGGAGAAAACUCAAAUGUCCUGAGGAAUAAACACUCUGAGCAAUUUCUAGGUGACAGAAAACCAACUAGGAAAAAGCCCAGCAGGCCACAGAAAAUCAGAGAUAAGGGAAACAUCUGAAGGACUGGUGUAAAGCUACUCUGAAGCUGCCUCUCUGUGUGAUUAAGCAACUCCAAUUAGCAGCAGUGUCACAAACAGAACGCAUGAGGGCAUUUCUGCCAUUCCUGAGCCCUCAGCAAUCCGCUUGCUUUGGUAUUCUACGAUAGUCCCACCUCUCUUGGAGCCACGUGCAAAGCUCACAGACAUCAGCAGGAAUUGGAGCUGUUCUUAUUUCGCUUGUGAGCGCAGUAAGUUAUUGGUUGGGGAAAUGAGUCAGGAAGAAAAUAGUAAAAAAAAAAAGCAACCCCAAACAUCAGUCCUUGGUUCUGCCAUCUCCUGAGGUGCCCCAUGGUCAGCGUAGGAGACAGCGCCUCGGGGGUGGUGGGAAUUGCUGAUGUAGGUCUCCAGAGUGGAAUUUGCCUUGGAUGGAGACAGCACUGGUAGCUGCCCUACGUGCAUGGCUCUCCUCCAUUCCUACAUCCACUGACCUCUGCACCAAAAGCCCAUCCCAGUGCGUGUGUCCACAGCCUGAAAAAGCAGGCAGAGGCCAUGAGCAGGGAGAAGAGAGAAAAAGCAUUGGCAACUGGAGAUGUGGGUCUAGAACUCUUAACAAUAAGCUACUUAUCUUUGCCUCUGGUUACCACUGGGCAGCGAUUCCCUCGGCACAGCAGCAUGAUGUUGGGCCACACGCUGGCCAAGGCAGUGCCCAAUUGCCCACAGCCUGGAUGGGAACUCUUCCUUGAUGCAUCAGGGCAGGCUCCAGCCUCCAUCCCAGAGGCACCAACAGCCAAACACAGGUUUCUCUUCCUCAGGAGCACGGUGCUCAUGCUGCUCGCUUGUGGCUACGAACAGCAGAGGGGAAAACAAUGCGAUAAGUGCAGAAUGGUUUUAUUGUCAUGUCAACAAAAUAUUUUCUGCCUCCACAGACUGUGGAAGUGCUCAGCAUGCAGCACCCUUCCAGUUUUGGAAAACACUUGAAAACCACCGACAGAAUCUCACUAUUCCUUUUUUUAGCUCCAUAAUAAAAAGCAAACAAGAAAUAUGCUGAUCCCCAAAAUGAGCUUAUUUUUUUCCUUUUUUUUUUUAGCAAUUUAAUUUUUUAGCUUUGAUCUGAUACCAGAACCCAGAGGACUUACUUGCUAUUUCUAAAUAAUGAGUCUAAUGUUUAUGCUCUGAGCCUGAACUUUUCUGGUUUUGGAAAAAAUGUGACUUUACAUAAAAGUCCUUUGAUUAAGAGAUCUGCAGUCAGAGGAGUUUUCGAUACAAUAAUGAAAAGGCCUUUCAGAUCUCUAACUCGAACGCUGCUCAGCACGAUAUUACUCGAGAAGGGGAGAAGCCGGCAGAACAAUCACACUAUUAGUCUUUGCUUUGCCAAGUGUUGUGUUAGUCAUAUUGCUGGUCAAAUCUCCCAGAAGUGCCUCAGAGAAGCCUUACAUUGCACGGAGUGAUGCAUGCCUGAUAAACGCACCCUGACCUGGGUGGUCUGUCGCUCUGGCUCUCUCCUUUUAUUUUUUUUUAACCCUGUUUCAUUGAGGCUUUAAGAGGUGAUUGUUACACAGAGGGAAAGUGCCUGGAGGAGAAACAGAGGCUAUUUCCUCCUGCUGUGGUCCACAUUCCCCUGCAGCAGGGCUGCAGCAGGCUCUCCUUCCAAGAAAGCCGCAGCACAAAACAUGGCACUCCCUCUCUUGCACAGCGAGGUUCCAUCCAUUGCCCCAGCUGAGCUUGCAGCGCUGGGCAUUCGGAGCACUCAGCACCUGGGCUCAUCCAUGGCUCAGAAGGUGACCUCCUGCUCAGUCCUGGCUCUCCUGGAAGUGGGUUGGAAAGGGUGACUUUCGCCCUGCUGAGCAGGUUGUGGUGUUGAAGCUGGAUGCCUGUGUUAUUUAUGCAGAACUGACACGUCUCUUUGUCCUGAGCCGUGUGGCCCAGAUUCCAGCCCUUGUAUCUACAAAACAUUACUCAUGUGCGCGCUCCUCUUUCAAGUCCUUGAUUCCAAUGGUAUUACUCACAUGUGCACGCAUACCGCGGCUGUGCGCCUGAGUGCCGCUCACGUCUCUGCAGGGGCAAAUCCUGCUGCUUUCAGCUGAUCUACACCACUAUGCCAGAGAUAAAAAUCUGAAACCAGAGCGGCUCUCUGGGGAAAGGAAGAUCAGCUUAAAACCUGAUGAUUCUCCUCCUCUUCCUCAUUCUCCCCGCACAUUUCCCACUUCUGUUGCCAGCAGGGCAGCCCGCGGGAAGCUCUGCUCCUUUGGAUCACCGGAGCACUGCCGCACACCAGGGGUUAAAAUGAGAAGGCACUUUGAUUUUGGAGAUUUAUGGCCUUCCUCCUGCUGUAUUCGUGGAGCUCAUCGUUGCAGUCAGCCCUCCCCACCCCUGCAGCUGUCUGCACAUUUUUUCUCCGGUUCUAGAGUUGUACUUUACUUAGGAAAUUAUAAUUAUUAAAACACACAAGGUCACGCUCUAGAUGAACUUGGAAACAGUUCAAAUAUGUUUCAGGUUUGAAACUAUUCAGCGGUGAUGGCCAAGUGGUGAUUUCAUAACAAAAGAAUGGUUAAUUUCACACUUCAGAUAACAUUUCCCCCGGAAAGCAGUAAAGCAUGUUGGUACAGAAAUUAUUAAAGGUCAAAAGACUGGAGACGUAUAAUCAGUCAUUAGUGCCAAUAAUGAGAUAUUAAAGGCAGGCGUGGGGAGGAGGCGGAGCUGAUGCCUGCCCCUUACCUUUACAACUCUCAUUUUCUGAAAGGUGCUGUGUCUUUGUGGGCUUCUAACGUGGCAGAUCUGGAGUGCUGCUGCACAAGUGGGCUUCUGCCCCUGCUGUAGGUAGCACAGCCAUUGGACCACAUGGACCGCCAUCCCCAUAAUAACGACCUGCAAAGCAUCCACUGAAGAGCAGCGAAGCGAACACUCACAGUACCCACCUCCCUGAGUCGCCUUCCUCCUUUGCUGGCUGGUGGGAGGAAAGCAGUGGCAGGUGUUCCAUGGCCUCUCCAGCAAUUGGCAUCAACAUUCAUCACUGCUCUUCUCUUGCAAAGGGAUUCUGACAAAGCAAGUUUUGAAAGAUCAAACCUCCCUCGUGCAGACAGCAGCCUGAAGUGGCUCUCUGUAUGCCUCGGUGAGAGAUGUGGCCAAAGCAGGUUGAUCCUGAUCGUUGUGGGAUAUCUUUUCCCCCAAAGUCAGCAACUCUUUGGAGAAAAAAUACACAGAAACAAACAAACACAAAUAAACCACUUAAAAGAAAAAGAACAGGAGAUGUCACAAACCCUUCCUUGGCAGUGCUCCUCUGCAAGCAGCUCCAGCCCAGCAGGUCAGCCGGGCAGCCUCAGCCAUGCCCUCAUAUCUCCAGUCUCAUCCUGCACUGGGCAAAAGCAAAAACUACAUUUGACCUUGCAGCUGGAGCUGUGGAAAUCAGCUCUACCACAAACCAGGAGGACAAUGACUUUAUGAGUGCAUCUCGUGUGCUGCUGCCACCUGAAUGUGCCACUGCCAAGGCUGGGGUGGCACUGGACUCAAGUCUGUGGCUUUGGGGGAAUCAAUAACACCCCUGGAUGCUCAGGGACUGGAGAGGUGAUGCUUCACUGGGGCUAUUGUGCUGACUGAGGAGCUUUUAUUUCCUCAGCUGUGCGGAGGAAUGGGCAUGAAAACUGUCUGUGACAGUGCACGUAGUGUGUGCACCACACUGCUGUGCAGAAACUGUCACAUCCUGGUGUUGGCCACAGUGCUGUCCAGCAAGGAUGCCAUGAGGCUGAGCCCAGCCUUGCCCUGGUGCCACAUGGUAGUUUUCAUUUAGAAAGAUCUUGCUCAUGUCUUUGUGAGGAAAAAAAGAAAACAAAAAACCAAACCAGGAAUGGUAGCGAGCACUCUAUGCCAGUUUCAUUUUUCAUCGUCGUUAUCAAGGUUUGGAUUGUACCUUUGGAAUGUCCUUAUCUAAAAUGAAAUCAAAUAAGCAGUUAGUGGCGGGGGGUCCUACACUCCCUCAGCACCUAAGGGAGUUUGUGCAAUGCCCCACCGCUGCGUGCUCAGCUCGGUUCACCUAAGUUGAUGCACGUACACGUGUACCUACAAGUAGUGCCACAAGCACGUACAGCUGGUAACGUAUCCAAACACAAUGGAAUGCACGUAAAACCCAAAUCACAUUUUUUAUCGCCACACUGUGGCACGUGGCAGGACAUGAGUGGGG
ensembl:lncRNA